GGGGGUGAACGGUUUCGACGUUGGUCGUAAUCCCAGGAGAAGCGGGUCGAGGACGCACGGUUAUCUCGCAAACGAUCCGUGCAAACCAAUAGGUGCCGAUUCCAAGCGCACCGACUUUGCCCUCGCCGCCUGAGCGAGUGUAAAAGUCCGUCAGCCCGGGGAGGCUCCGGCCCCGGAUCCUGGCGUCAUCUACGGAGCCACUGCUUCGGACCCAGGCCGCGGGGGUCCGUUGAACACUUACGCGGCUGGGCUUGGCAGCGACGUGCCUGCGCGAUCGCUGGAGCCGAGAAAAACCACAGCAGGCUGCACCCGGAGAAGUCCUGGUUCUGCGUCAGCGGACGCGGGUUCGAUUCCCGCCACCUCCACCC
rnacentral:tmRNA from 1 species